rnacentral:rRNA from 1 species
UACGUAGGUGGCGAGCGUUGUCCGGAAUUACUGGGUGUAAAGCGCGUGUAGGCGGGAGGCCAAGUCUGUGGUGAAAUCGCUCGGCUUAACCGGGGAACUGCAUCUGAUACUGGAUGGCUUGAGUUCGGGAGAGGGAUGCGGAAUUCCAGGUGUAGCGGUGAAAUGCGUAGAUAUCUGGAGGAACACCGGUGGCGAAGGCGGCAUCCUGGACCGGCACUGACGCUGAGGAGCGAAAGCCAGGGGAGCAAACGGG